UACGUAGGGUGCGAGCGUUGUCCGGAAUUACUGGGCGUAAAGAGCUCGUAGGCGGUUUGUCGCGUCGUCCGUGAAAACUUGGGGCUCAACCCCAAGCUUGCGGUCGAUACGGGCAGGCUCGAGUUCGGUAGGGGGAGACUGGAAUUCCUGGUGUAGCGGUGAAAUGCGCAGAUAUCAGGAGGAACACCGGUGGCGAAGGCGGGGUCUCUGGGCCGAUACUGACGCUGAGGAGCGAAAGCGUGGGGGAGCGAACAGG
rnacentral:rRNA from 1 species